rnacentral:lncRNA from 1 species
AAAAAAAAAAUUCAAAAAACCAAUAAACAGUAACCUGUUAUCGAAAAAAAAUAGACAAUCGAGAGGGUCAAAAGUUGAAACGUUUUCGGAUUUCCGGGAGGAUCCGUCAGACGAUGUAGAGAAAUUGCAUUUCCGAGUUUUCCCCCUCCACCUUUCCUCCCUCUUCCCUUCUUCCAUGUGUGCACACACACACGUAUAUCAAUAUAAUAGUUACAUACGUGCGGGUGGCUGUGUGCCACGUGGUGGUCCAUGUUCCUCUAUUCCAGAAUUUCGGGUCUCGGCCACCAGGUGGCAGCACAGCAGCUAACCGGUCGAAACUCGGAAUGAGGAGGUUCAGUAUUGCGCCGGCCGUUCAUCUCGUAAGUUGCUUGUCAGAUUUUUCGUGGUUAGCUGCUAGUGAGCUACGCCCCCCUCAAGGGAGGAAUCCUACGGAAGGGUAGUGUAAAAAGAAAAAAGAAGAAGAUACACGGAAGGAAAGAAGGCGUAGCAUCCCCCAUCAUCAAUUGGAAGAAAAGAGGGAUGUUUUCUUUUUAAACAUCGAACGCAAUAAACACUUUUCACCCUAGUGGGAAUAAUAUCAAAAUUCGAGAUAAGGAUCUUGUCACAAGGCUGCGGAGAAAUUCAAGGAGCUAUCUUUUUGGCAUUUGUGGCUAACGUUUGGUUGCUUCCUUGUUUCCUUGCUUGCUAGCUAGUUAUCUACCUACCUACGCAAUUACAUCGAGCGAACAUCAUCUUCGUGGGUGGUGAAAUCUCAUUAGAACUACCCGUAACAUUUGAAGAAGAAGAAGAAGAAGAAUUUCUUGGAUGAGAUUAAACUUGAUGAUAAUUAUAAGAAUUCAAAGAUAGACUAUAUUGCAUAUGUGUGUUUGUGUGUGUGUGUGUGUGCGUCUCUGUGGUAUCGAUAAUCGUUUGACGAAAGUUAAAUUUAGGUGAUAUAUACGUAAAUAAACGCUUCAUCAAUUUUUAUUAAAGAUCUUAAUCAACAUUAAGAAACAAUAAAGUGACACAAAGUGUUCGUAGAAAAGCAAAUCUCAUAAUCGAGAUAACGAAUAGAACAAUCUAUAA